rnacentral:rRNA from 1 species
CGGCAGGCCUAACACAUGCAAGUCGAGCGGUAGCACAGAGAGCUUGCUCUCGGGUGACGAGCGGCGGACGGGUGAGUAAUGUCUGGGAAACUGCCUGAUGGAGGGGGAUAACUACUGGAAACGGUAGCUAAUACCGCAUAACGUCGCAAGACCAAAGUGGGGGACCUUCGGGCCUCAUGCCAUCAGAUGUGCCCAGAUGGGAUUAGCUGGUAGGUGGGGUAACGGCUCACCUAGGCGACGAUCCCUAGCUGGUCUG